UAUUUCAUUGAACACAAAGUUGUUAUAUAUUCACAAGAACCCAACACAGCGUCCCCCAAUCACUAGUAUCUAGUAUGGGAGCGCCUAACUGGCGCCCGAGCAGGGACCCACAUUCUUCACGGAAGUAAAGGGAAAUGGUGACGUGUCAAUAAUUCUAUAAAAAUUACUUAUUAAAAAAGCAAGUAAAAUAAAUUGUUCCAAUCCAAUUGGGCAAUUGUUGGCAAAAUUACGAAGUACUUCUGCGAUUUGCAAACAAGUGUUGGUGCACUAGAUAAUUCUAUAACAUAAAAGAAAUCGUGGCUAAAUGGUGGUAUUGGCAAUACCUAGGUUCAAAUCCGUGCCGAGACGACUCUUAAAACGAAAAUACAAGAAAUUUGCAGGCAUAAUGGUGGUACGAGAUUGAUUCUCGUAUCGAGGUUCAAAUCCUUGCCGUAAGACAAAUGUCAUAAAAAAUAAACGUCACAAUUUCCACCUGUGUUGAA